CAGGGAGCUAAUAUACAGACCCCGAGGUCCAUACAUACUGGAUAAACCUUGGAAUGGAUAAACCUUGGAAUAAUAACGUCUGAUUGAAGACAAGGCCUUACACUGAUCACAGACCUGCUCACCGCCAGCUGAAAACUCCCAGUGUGUCUGUGUUCACUGUGAUGUGUGUUUGUGUGUGUCUGUGUUCACUGAGAGGUGUGUUUGUGUGUGUCUGUGUUCACUGAGAGGUGUGUUUGUGUGUGUCUGUGUUCACUGAGAGGCGUGUUUGUGUGUGUCUGUGUUCACUAAGGAGAUGUGUGUGUGUGUGUGUGUGUGUGUGUGUGUGUGUGUGUGUGUGUGUGUGUGUGUGUUCACUAAGGAGAUGUGUGUGUGUGUGCUGUAUGUAAGACGGCCUGUUCAGUCCACACGCCACAAGCUGUUGUUUCUACCAUUGUGCAUCUGUUGUCGUGAGGUGUGAGUGUAGCCGUGUGUGUGUGUGUAUGUGUUUGUGUGCGUUCAUCUGUUGUUAUGUGUGGUUGUAACUGUGUGUGUGCAUCCGUUGAGAUGCUAUUGGUUUAUCUGUGCGUGUGUGUUCAUCUGUUGAUGUGUGUGUGUCUGUGUGCAUGUGCGCGCAGGCUUGUGUGUGUGUGUCCGUUCGCCUGUGUGCAUCUAUGUGUAUGUCUGAGUGUGUGUGUGUGUGUGUGUGUGUGUGUGUGUGUUGUGGUGUCACUCCACCCAAGCCCCUCCUGGUCCAGAGAGGACCGGAAAGGGGCCUCCAUCCACUCCGAGGUCACCUCCCACUGGUCCCUG
ensembl:lncRNA